rnacentral:piRNA from 1 species
UCGAACUCACCGGGUCUCCACAGCACACU